UCCAAGACUCCAGAUGGGUGACUUAUCACCUAAAUCAGAGCAAGAGAAUUGCCAUAAAUGCAGGUUACAUGGGAAGACAUAGGCUUUGUUCCAUCAAAGGCACUCAAAAUUUGAUGUACAAAGCUUUCUCUGUCCCAACACUGGGAGGCGUGCACGACUGAAGGUGAAUUGAUAAAUACUCUAUUAAUAAAAGCACCACGAACAAGCACCGAGUUAAGAGAGACAAAGAGGAAGAAAUGGAGCCUUGCAAAGAUCGAUUGAUUUAACUUCCACCCCUUUUCAUUUGUUUCUGAGUGCUUAGAAGUUUUCCAGUCAAGAAGUCAAAAGAAGGGCCCUGAAUAAUGGCAGUUUUCCCCCAGUGACCACCGGCAGACUUAGUGUUUGACAGGGUCAAACUCAGCCACUCUGAAGUGUGUCCUCAAGGUGGUAUUGGCACAUUGAAGAACAAAAGGAGAAGCCAGCUUUGUGAAUGGAGCCCUGGACGUGGAGUCCCAGUCCUGGCGGGUAGGAUUUCUCACCAGAGAAUCACUGACUGACUUGGGGCAAGCUGCUCUGUCACAAACUCCUGGGGUGUUCCCCAUCGGUACACCACACACUGAAGCAAUGUCACCGAGGCGCUGCUCAGCUCCGCAGUGUUUAGGAAUUAAGUAGAACGAGUUAUUAUGAGACUCAUGCUACACGGUCCUCACAGCCUGGGAACUUCAGUAUCACACAGACCCAUGUUCCAGGUAGCUUGUGGAGUGGCGUGGCCCCUUUGGAAUCAUGGGUUGUGGGAAGAGUUGGAGUUAGAGGAACAAAACUCUCUGUAAAUCUCCAAAGGGCAAACGAUGCCCAGACUAGGAAGGCUGAAUAAUAAAUGGGAGCCCUAAGCUUUAACCCCUUCGUUCCCAGGCACCAGGGACCGCGCUCUAUUUCAUUAAAAAGAAGCUUCAGAUCGUUCUACAAAAGCUGUAUCUUUUAAAUUUUUUAAACUUUUUCUAAUGGCUUCAUCUAUGCCAUCCCAUAAUAGGGAGAUUAGUGGGCUUUAACACAUUCCAAUAAUCCUACUUUCACUUGGCAUUUUGUAUAGAUUUGCAAAUUACUUUUGCUGUAAACAGUAGCUGUAGAAUACUUCAAGCUGAGAAGAUUAAAUGAAGCCCUUAUCCCAAAAUAAGCCUUUCAACCAGGUUAAAAUGACGGAAAAAUUUCAUCCUAUGAAAUGUUAUUUGGAUAUUUAAAAUGUCUCCAGUGAAACACUGCCCAUUGACAUCCUCUUGUUCUUCCACAA